GAUGAAGAACGCAGCGAAAUGCGAUAAGUAGUGUGAAUUGCAGAAUUCAGUGAAUCAUCGAAUCUUUGAACGCACAUUGCGCCCCUCGGUAUUCCGUGGGGCAUGCCUGUUCGAGCGUCAUCUACACCCUCAAGCUCUGCUUGGUGUUGGGCGUCUGUCCCGCCUCCGCGCGUGGACUCGCCCCAAAUUCAUUGGCAGCGGUCCUUGCCUCCUCUCGCGCAGCACAUUGCGCUUCUCGAGGGGCUACGGCUCGCGUCCAACAAGCACAUUUACCGUCUUUGACCUCGGAUCAGGUAGGGAUACCCGCUGAACUUAAGCAUAUCAAUAAGCGGAGGA
rnacentral:misc_RNA from 1 species